AGAAGAAGGUGUCAGAAUUCCUGGAACUGGAGUUAUAGACAGUUGUGAACCACCAUAUGGAUGUUGGGAUUUGAACACAGGUCCUCCAGAACAUUCAGUGCUUUUACCAAAUUAGCUGUCUCUCUAGCCCCUAAAACAUUUUACAUACAAACCAUGGCUGCUUACUCUAUUCCCAACAGGUUCACACAGCUAAUCUGAACUAAAAAUUACAUCUCCAUUUCACUAGUUAUAUUUCAUGUAGUCAAUAUGUAUGUACUUAAUAAAUGCAAAGCAGGGCAUGGUGCUGCAUGUCUAUAAACUUAGGUCUUAGAGGAGUAAGGAUUAUGAAAGAUCAUGAGUUCAAGUCCAGUCUGUAUUACAGAGCUAUUUUCAGGAAAAUAGAGAGUACAGAGUAAAACCCUGUGUUUUUGUUUUCUAAAAAGGUACACAAGACUAAUAAGCUUUGUUCAUAACUGAAAAAAAAAGUACUGGUUAAAUCAGAGGUUUAUUAAUGGUUAAAUCAGUAAUUACUUCCUGGUAUAAUAAUACCAUAUGGAAAACCUUUGAUUUAAAAAUAGAAUGGCUUGACUGGCAACUGUGGACAGCCACUCUAGAGAGCCUGUUAGCUAUAGCUAUCUGUACCAUUCCACAACCUUCAGGAUGUUAACCUAAAGUUGAGUGCAGCAGAAGAUACUGUUGUCCAGAUUUUGUUUUAUUAUAGCAUCUUUCUGGUAGAGGAUCUCAGUGUGGAUCGAUUCUGUAGCCCUUGAGUGUGUGUCCCUAGUUUAAAAAACAAUCAGGCCAGGCGUGGUGGCGCACACCUUUAAUCCCAGCACUCUCAACAAACUCAAAAAACGUCCAGAAUUCUCAACAAACCUGCUUUAGCCUCCAAAAUGCUGGGAUUACAGGGGAUGAGCCACCACAGUGAUAACGACGGCGCACGCCUUUAAUCCCGGCACUCGGGAGGCAGAGGCAGGCAGAUAUCUGAGUUCGAGGCCAGCCUGGUCUAUAAAGUGAGCUCCAGGACAGCCAGGGCUACAGAGAAACCCUGUCUUGAAAAACAAAACCAACAAACAAACAAAAAAAAAUCUUAUUCCAGCCGGGCGUGGUGGCGCACACCUUUAAUCCCAGCACUCGGGAGGCAGAGGCAGGCAGAUUUCUGAGUUCGAGGCCAGCCUGGUCUACAAAGUGAGUUCCAGGACAGCCAGGGCUACACAGAGAAACCCUGUUCGAAAGCCAAAAAAAAAAAAAAAAAAAAAAUCUCAUUCCAUCGAAGCAUUGCUCUGACAGAACUUGAAAGAAAUUUUUACUACGUUAGGAUUUUCCUUGGAGUCAUCUGAUUCAGAAAAGAAAUCUGGGACUAGAUUUAAGGAUAUUACAUACUAGAUUACCUGUAUUUUAUUGUGUUGUCUAAGAAACAUUCAAAUUGAUAAAAUAUUAAAUGUUUGAAGGAGGGCUAGAGAGAUGGCUCAGUAGUUGUUCUUCAGAGGACCUGUGUUUAAUUCCUAGUCCACAUAGAAGCUCACACCUGCCUGAGGAGUCCAGUUCCAGGACUUUUGAUACCUUCACACACGCAUUACACCAAUGACUAUAAAAUAAUAAAUUAUAUAUAAAAAAGCUUGAAGCAGGUGAGGCAUAGUGGGAAUAUGUUUGUAGUUGCUAGAAUUGUACAGUUGAGACAGGAGGAUUCAAAGUGUGAGGCCAACUUGGACUACAUAGUAACUCAAAGCCUGCACUCAGGAGGCAGAGGCAGGUAGAUCUCUGAGGACAGCCUGGUCUACACAAGUUCUAGGCCAACAAAGCUACCUAGUGAAUCUCUAUAUCAAACAAAACAAGC
rnacentral:lncRNA from 1 species